UCCCACUCGUCUCUCCGCCUCCCGGGCUCACUCUCGGGCUCACCCUCCCCCUCUCCCCAGCAGGCCCAGGGGCCCUGGCGCCUCUUCCUGGCUCAGCUUCGACUUCAGGUGCGCGCGGUCCCUGCAGUUCGUCGCUGCAGCUGCCCUCUCCUCUUUUCUGUUUCUCGCUCCCUUCUUCCCCACCCGUGUCUCCUCCCCACUCCUUCCCCUGACGUUUCCUCUUCUCCCUCGCCCCCUCUCGCCAGCCCUCCCGCUGGGCGCGCCCCUCUAGCUGUGCUCCCCUUCUCUUCUAUCUUGCACUCUUUCCUUUUUUCUUCCCCUCUCACUUUUAUCUCUUUUUCUUUCCUCCUCUUGUCCUUUGAGCUUUAUCCUCUCUGAAUCUGCCUCCCCUUCCUCUCCCUCUUGCUCCCCACUCUCUCCUUUGGGAGAUCCGUAAAUCUCCCCACACCCUCUCCCUGCUUUGCUUUGAAUCUCUCCCCAGCCUCUCAAUCCUCCGGAGUCCGGCCUCCUCCAGUCUCAGGGAGGCGCCUGCACUCUCCCUACUCCUCUCCUGCUCGUGCCCUCUCCCUCCCUCCCCUGCCCCAGCACUCAAGGUUCCCAGGCUGAGAAGGAGGUGGCUUCCACCCAGUGCAGGAGGUGGGCCACCAGAGGCAGAGCUGCCAAGCCAGAGCCCAGGAGCUGAAAGAACUUUGUGACGUUUGUUCUCUCUCUUUUCUGUCUGUCCUGGACGCUGGAUACCCCCUGGAGAAAUCAAGCCCACCCAAAGCCUGGGAAGGAGGAAAUGAGGAAUGGGACCAGAGACAGAAGCAAGGUGCAUCACUCCACCCUCUUCUCAGCAGAGAGCACGUCCAUGUGGAGGACCUUCCUGGAUCUCCUUUUCACCCAUGAGAAACAGGCGCCCAGGACUUCAAAAGACCAGCAGCAGUGAGGACAGAGACUCCAGGGAAGACCUGGCCUGAAGGACCAACAGCGCCACCUGCAGGGCACUUCAUCCAUGCGGGGCCCUCAGUUACCACCUCCUGGCAGCAGAUGGAACAGCACCCGUGCUCUAUUAGAACUGAGUCUGUCCUCAGGGAUAAGGAUAAUGCCAAGAAUGUCUGGGGGAGGUGGGGAGACUGGGUGGGGAGGACAGAUUUGCAAAAUGCUGCAGAAAUAACCACUUUUACUUCCAACAUAUAAAUAUCCUGCCCCACAAGCUUCCUGGUAUGCCAGCUUA